rnacentral:rRNA from 1 species
GACGAACGCUGGCGGCGUGCUUAACACAUGCAAGUCGAACGGAAAGGCCCUGCUUUUGUGGUGUGCUCGAGUGGCGAGCGUGUGUGUCACACGUGAAUAACCUGCCCUUCACUUUGGGAUACCUUCGGGACACUGGGGAUUACUCGGGAUGGCAUCUCAUGCUGCGUGGGGGGGGGUGGAGAGUUUCGGCGGUUGGGGAUGGACUCGCGGCUUAUCAGCUUGUUGGUGGGGUAGUGGCUUACCAAGGCGUUGACGGGUAGCCGGCCUGAGAGGGUGACCGGCCACACUGGGACUGAGAGACGGCCCAGACUCCUACGGGAGGCAGCAGUGGGGAAUAUUGCACAAUGGGCGGAAGCCUGAUGCAGCAACGCCGCGUGCGGGAUGACGGCCUUCGGGUUGUAAACCGCUUUCGCCUGUGACGAAGCGUGAGUGACGGUAAUGGGUAAAGAAGCACCGGCUAACUACGUG